rnacentral:rRNA from 1 species
GUCUAAUCUGCCCACUGAUUUUAUUUAAAUGGCCGCAGUAUUUUAACUGUGCAAAGGUAGCAUAAUCAUUAGUCUUUUAAUUGGAGGCUGGUAUGAAUGAUUGAACGAAAUAUUUACUGUUUCAUUAAAAUUUAUAUUAAAAUUUAAUUUUUUAGUUAAAAAGCUAAAAUUUAUUUAAAAGACGAGAAGACCCUAUAAAUCUUUAUAUUUAGAUUAUAAUAAUUAUUUAGCAUUUAGCAAUUUUUAUAUUUAAUAAUAUUUUAUUGGGGUGAUAUUAAAAUUUAUAAAACUUUUAAUUGUUUAUGUCAUUAAUUUAUGAAUAAUUGAUCCAAUAUUAUUGAUUAAAAAAUUAAGUUACUUUAGGGAUAACAGCGUAAUUUUUUUGGAGAGUUCAAAUCGAUAAAAAAGAUUGCGACCUCGAUGUUGGAUUAAGGUAUAUUUUUAGGUGUAGUUGCUUAAAUUUUAAGUCUGUUCGACUUU